GCUUCCUGUGCCUGCAGAGAAAUGAGGGGAAAAUCCCUUUAGAGAAUAUCUCAGCCCCCAGUGAUGAGCUCUUACUGAUAUCAUUAAUCAGCAGAUAAAUGGUAGUGUUUUGUAGUUUAGUGUCUGCUCUUAGACUCUUAGAGAUGGGUGUGGGACCCUGGAUUGGGUGAAGAAGGAAUACCAGCUGUUAGUAUUUUUUUUUAAACUUCAAAUAUCUAGAGAAAAAUACCUAAGUGAAAUGUUCUUGCAAUUCUCUCAAAUAACCAAAUGACUCCUGCUUUUCUCCUGUUUAUUUUACAGUAUGUAGUUUGUGCCACAGGUGAUACCACUUUGUCCAGGCAGCACUUUGGAGCAUUUCCCUGAUGCUGAACACGUGUUGAGGUUUUUCUCUUCGCCUAAGGGUGAAGGCUCCAGUGCAGGAUAAACUCAAAAGCUUCUGAGAUGCAGACUGGGGAAAAAAUAUUCCUGGCCAGUUUCUGCUACCUGUCACUGGAAUCAAGGUCAUGGCUCUCCUUGAAGCCUUCAGCAGAUAAAAGCAGUCCAAGCAGAAACGUGGAUUUAACGGGGAGCCUGGGGUGAUGCUCUGUUGUGUGCUGUGGGAGCCCACUUGGUCCUGAGGCUUUGCAAAUCAUGUUCAAGACCUCCUGAGAGAUGAGGCUGUCACCAGUGAAAAUGCCCUGGCUGGAAGCUCUGUGGGUUGGAGGAAGAAGGUGAGCAGUGGUCUGCAGCCCAGAGCCUUCAG